GAAAACACACUGAAAUAAUGUUUCCUGUCUGCUUUUAUGGCUAUCUAAACAUAUUAAUUCUAGCGUAAAUAAGUGACAAUUUUCUUUACCUUAUGUUUAAGUGUGUGUGUGGAGAAGUGUCUUUAAUGAUAAAAAGAAAGUUAAAAUUAACAUAACCCGUAUUGGGUAUGCAAGCAUCACUUCAAUCAAAUAUACAUUACCAUUUUUUCCCCUUUAAGCCUCUGAAUUUAAGCACACAAAUAAAUUAUUGGUUCAGCGUGCUCUGCAGAACAACUGAGCAGGCUGUGUGUUGCAGCGUGACAUUACCUAAUUGCACGGAAGGCAAAUUGACUCUGGGAAGAAUUGUGAAUGAAGGGACGUUUCUAUCUUGGGUUUACGUAAUAAAUCUGCCGCCCUCCGAGCUUUCUACCUUCACAGUUGUUUCUCCUGCCACAUCCAUUCUUUCCUCCUUGACUCUGUUGAUCCUGGAUCUGGGGACAGAAUUGAACAUUAUCAAUCCCCAAGGGGAAAAUGGCUCUACAGUUUAUUGUCUGUCUCAGUUCAUUCUCAUUGCUGUUACCAAUACUUUAUAUUGGAUUAUAAGUACUGUUUUUUUCCCUCAUAGCUCUGAGGUUGAAAAGUCCAAGGCCACGGGGCCAUCGGAUUCACUGUGAUGAAGGCCUAUUCCAAGUGUGGUGUUGUCUAUGCUGUCCUGCUAGAGGACAACAUACGGAAAGGCAAACGGAAGGGACAGGCACCUCUAGGAUGCACGCCCCUUCUCUAAGGGCCUUGUUCUCCUUCAUGAUGGCAGAGCCCUUAUAGCUUAAUCAUUUCCCUCAGUGCUCCUAUUAGGACUAAUGCAUUAGGGAUUAAAUUCCAACCUGAUGGUCUUCUGACACUGGAUCUGUGGGCGGCUCCUCCACUGUAGCGCUGUUGUUCUCUGAGCCAGUGUUACUAUCACUGGUCCCUUCCACAUCCAUGCUGUCAACCCCCUCCUGUCCACUCUCCUUGUCCUCAGGAGUAGACGUGCCUUCUUCACCAUUCUGCUGACUCUCUGCAAGGUGUGUCUCCUCUGUCUCAAUCAGGAUGUUCUCCUUGGCUUUGUUCGCCACUUGCUCUUCCUCAGGGGCUAUGCUGCUCUGUCUCCGCUCAGCUUGCUCUGCUGCCUGCUUCUCACUCUCCUCCUGCCUUCUGCGGGCCUGUUCCCCCGCCAGUGCGGAUCUCAGCUGCAGACUUCUCCAUGUCUACUUCCACUUUCAGACCACAUAACCUUUGAAGUUCAUUGUUAAAGGAGUCUGUGCUUUCUAGGAAUUUCCUCUUCUUUUCCUGGUGUCAUUCUUCUAUCUGAAGGAGCUCGGCUUCUAGUUUCCGCUGAUGAACCACUAAAGACUGGACCUGUCGCUUGAGGACCUGCAUUCUAGCUGUUGUGACAACUGACCGCACAUCAGAUACCACACUCUCUCUGAGAAUGUCACUGAUGAGACAGUAGUUUCUCUGGAAAUGGGCAGUGACUGUGUGCUUCAUUGAAAAGCCAUCAUUAUCAUCAUCUGGAUCCUUAGCAGGCUGGAUGCUAAUCUAAGGUUCUCCUUUCUCCGUGAGAGACUGGCUCUGUCAACUUUCUUCCUCUAAUGCAACUUCUGCACGACUUUUUGUAUUAAUAUAGGCAAGGUACGCUGGGGAAUUAUGGUGGGCUUUCAUAGAUUCAUUGUACUCUAUCUUGUCUGCUUCGUAUUCAUUUAAAUAUUCUUGCUUCUUUUCAUCAGUGAGAUCUCGCCACAUGCCACCAAUAAUCUUGCCAAUCUCCCACAACUUUAGGUCAGGAUUGGAAGCCUUUACUUGGCCCCAGACGUUUCUGCUGUACCUCAUGUAGGGCAUCAGCGGCUUAUCUGGUGGCUCUGGAGGCUUUGGAACAGUAAUGCUAGAGGACGCCGUGACCCCGCUGUUGGUGCCCGGGUUCCCUCCCAGCCUGUAGUUGUUGUAGGGGAGAUGACUGUAUAGAUUGUAUCCCACA
rnacentral:lncRNA from 1 species